ensembl:ncRNA lncRNA:CR46271 long non-coding RNA:CR46271
CUGGGUGGGUGGUGUUAAGUAUGCGUUUAACGGGUGCGGGCUUAAUUACAAGCAAAGUUUACCAAAGGGUUGUCCCGAGAACUUCUCUAUGACGCGAUGGAGGCCUGCAAUUUAAUGACGGUCCGUGCAGGAAGAGUCAUUACUCCGGCCACCUUGUACUCGAAUGAGAAAUGAUGAUGGCCAGCCGGAGCACCAAGGGCGCUAAAGGAAGAGCCGCAGACGGAAAACGGAAAGCGAAGAGUAGAAAAGCGGAAAAGCAAAGAGGUGCCAGUGCAGGCGGACCCGAAGCCAUAAACCUGAUUGAAGCCCAGCCCACGCAUUGGCAUUUGUAUAUGCAAAUGGGGCUUAACCCCAUUCAAAUUAUCCACACAUCGCUCCCUGCCAUGCAUAAGUUAUGGGCUCAGGUAGCGCAACUCGGUUUAAAGUCAAUGGAAUCCAUCAAUAAUUCCAUCUGCUGCCAGAACCAAGGGCUCACAUUUCCUUUAGAAUUCAGAAAUCUGUAGCAAUUAUUAUCUUACACAAGCUUACCUUUUCUCGGCAACCCAUCCGGGCAUCAGGACCCUGGUGUAAUACAAUAAGCUGGCCAAAAAAUCCCCUCAAGGCCCCCCAACUCGUUGGCCUUUAUGCAUACACAAUUCCGCAUUGAAAAAAGCCGAUGCGGACCGAACUGCUGAGGACUUGAAUGCGCCCAAAAGAGAACGUGAGUGAGAACGACAGAUAUUCCUAUUGAUUUGUUGUCUGCAGAUUCUCGCAAUGGCGAAACCUGUUGGCCAGAGCGAGAAGGAGUGGGUCAGGUGAGCCCUGGACUCUUGGCCACUUUUCCGUCAACAUUUUGUUAUCAUCCUCGAACCAUAUCCCCCCCUCGAUCCAUCCCCAUUGGUCGGCUGGGUUCGAUUCGUUGCGGUGGCAACACGCCAUUAUAUUACGUGAAAUGCAAAAUACAACGAAAAAAAAAACGAUGGGUAUACGGAAAAGCGAAGAGCUGGCAGUGGUAGUGAAACAACAAGUUGCCAAACACUUGAAUCAAUCACUCGAAUAAUUGAUGCCUUGUAAGUGGAAUUUACGAAAAGAUUGUCCCAAAGAUUCAAGGACUUAAGUGAAAACUUUUAAACGACCAACUUUUCACUUCAUGAAUAUGCAUUUAAAUUUAGUCCAGACAGUCUACGCAAGAGUUAAGUCACUUUGAGUUUUGAGUUCGGCAAACUUCGUCUCAUGAAGUAAAAGCAUUAUAAAUAAAACUUCUCACAAGAUGAGUACUCUUAUAUUGAACAUAGCAAUAUGAAAUGGGAAUAUACAUUUGUUUUAGGUGUU